UACGUAGGGGGCUAGCGUUGUCCGGAAUCAUUGGGCGUAAAGAGCGUGUAGGCGGCCCGGUAAGUCCGCUGUGAAAGUCGGGGGCUCAACCCUCGGAUGCCGGUGGAUACUGUCGGGCUCGAGUACGGAAGAGGCGAGUGGAAUUCCUGGUGUAGCGGUGAAAUGCGCAGAUAUCAAGGAGGAACACCUAUUGCGAAGGCAGCUCGCUGGGACGUUACUGACGCUGAGACGCGAAAGCGUGGGGAGCAAACAGG
rnacentral:rRNA from 1 species